ACGAUGUUGUUUUGCUGCUUUCCCGGGAUAAUGUAGUAAUGUAGUGGUAUAAUAUUAAUCAUACCAGACGGGGAGUGUUCUGACUUAAUUUACUGAGUUUGCUCUCUUUAUUGUUUAUGCUUGUCCAGGAAAGACACCUGCUGGUGUAUUUUGGUAUCGCACCUUAAGUGCCUUUGUUUUGCUCCGCCAAAAUCCAGUUCUAACCUGUUCAAAGAGCUGUAUGGAUCGAAGCAGUUUCUAGCGGUCAGAUCCUUGGAGUAAAUACGUCCUUUUACCACACUGAAAAGAGAGAAAAGAAGAGCAACAGAGUUAUCUAAAGAAUGAACAUCUGAAAGUAAAGUUCAUCAACAAAACAUU